rnacentral:rRNA from 1 species
AUUGAACGCUGGCGGCAUGCCUUACACAUGCAAGUCGAACGGUAGAGUAGCAAUACUUGAGAGUGGCGAACGGGUGAGUAAUAUAUCGGAACGUGCCCAGUCGUGGGGGGAUAACGUAGAGAAAUUUACGCUAAUACCGCAUACGAUCUAAGGAUGAAAGCGGGGGAUUCGCAAGAACCUCGCGCGAUUGGAGCGGCUGAUAUCAGAUUAGGUUGUUGGUGAGGUAAAAGCUCACCAAGCCGACGAUCUGUAGCUGGUUUGAGAGAACGACCAGCCACACUGGGACUGAGACACGGCCCAGACUCCUACGGGAGGCAGCAGUGGGGAAUUUUGGACAAUGGGGCGAAAGCCUGAUCCAGCAAUGCCGCGUGCAGGAAG